GGGGGUUUAGUAUAAUGGCAUUACAGCGGUCUCCAAAACCGCCCAUAAGGGUUCGAUUCCUUUAACCCCCGCCA
rnacentral:tRNA from 1 species